rnacentral:rRNA from 1 species
UACGUAGGGGGCUAGCGUUGUCCGGAAUCAUUGGGCGUAAAGCGCGUGUAGGCGGUCCGGUAAGUCCGCUGUGAAAGUCGAGGGCUCAACCCUCGAAUGCCGGUGGAUACUGUCGGGCUUGAGUACGGGAGAGGCGAGUGGAAUUCCUGGUGUAGCGGUGAAAUGCGCAGAUAUCAGGAGGAACACCGAUUGCGAAGGCAGCUCACUGGAACGUUACUGACGCUGAGACGCGAAAGCGUGGGGAGCAAACAGG